rnacentral:tRNA from 3 species
GCGCCCGUAGCUCAGCUGGAUAGAGCGCUUGCCUCCGGAGCAAGAGGUCACAGGUUCGAAUCCUGUCGGGCGUACCA